UGGGCGUAAGGGCUCGCAGGCGGUUUCUUAAGUCUGAUGUGAAAGCCCCCGGCUCAACCGGGGAGGGUCAUUGGAAACUGGGAAACUUGAGUGCAGAAGAGGAGAGUGGAAUUCCACGUGUAGCGGUGAAAUGCGUAGAGAUGUGGAGGAACACCAGUGGCGAAGGCGACUCUCUGGUCUGUAACUGACGCUGAGGAGCGAAAGCGUGGGGAGCGAACAGGAUUAGAUACCCUGGUAGUCCACGCCGUAAACGAUGAGUGCUAAGUGUUAGGGGGUUUCCGCCCCUUAGUGCUGCAGCUAACGCAUUACGCACUCCGCCUGGGGAGUACAGUCGCAAGACUGAAACUCAAAGGAAUUGACGGGGGCCCGCACAAGCGGUGGAUCAUGUGGUUUAAUUCAAAUCAACGCCAAGAACCUUACCCUGUC
rnacentral:rRNA from 1 species